UCUUAAAAUCACAAGGAAGGCUUGCAGCUACUUGUCAGUCUGAUUUCAAAGAGUUUUUCAAGAGCUAAUACCUUUCAGUCAUGAGCGGACAAGUUGUGUGUGCCUACAUUAUUUUUUGGCUUUGUGUGAACUUUGUCGGGUUCAUUCUUGUGCUGAGCUAUUUUUCUUCCAUUGCUAAAGAAGACUAAGAAGUUACAUUUGUUUUAGCAAGAAGCCGGUGGACAAAGCGCUUGUUACCUCCUCCCGACGAAAUGGAAAACUGCCCAGAAAAGAAUUCGGAUUUCCCAAGAGGGCUGGAAAAGGAUUUUAAUGAAUCAGAAGAUCAAAAACUAGCAAGACUGGACGAGAGGUCAGACUCUUCAGAAGAGUUGAAAGAGGAGUACGAGUUUCCAAGGGAACAUAAUUUGCGAGUGAGGAUGGCAGAGAAAGAGUAUUCAAAUGGAUUGGAUAUUGGGAAGAAUAGAAUCUCGAAAUCCUUUGGAGACAUCAAGAGUCGUCGACAGGAGAGAUACAUUUUCUAUUUUUCUUCAAUGACAUUUUAAUAAAGACUUGAAACCGAAAAUACGGUUUUAAAGGGUCGCGAAAUCGGUCCCCUCAA